rnacentral:rRNA from 1 species
UAGCGUAGGGGGCAAGCGUUGUCCGGAUUUAUUGGGCGUAAAGAGCGUGUAGGCGGCUUUACAGGUCCGUUGUGAAAACUCGAGGCUCAACCUCGAGACGCCGGUGGAAACCGUAAAGCUAGAGUCCGGAAGAGGAGAGUGGAAUUCCUGGUGUAGCGGUGAAAUGCGCAGAUAUCAGGAAGAACACCCGUGGCGGAAGGCGGCUCUCUGGGACGGUACUGACGCUGAGACGCGAAAGCGUGGGGAGCGAACAGG